GACGAACGCUGGCGGCGUGCUUAACACAUGCAAGUCGAACGGAAAGGCCCUGCUUUUGUGGGGUGCUCGAGUGGCGAACGGGUGAGUAACACGUGAGUAACCUGCCCUUGACUUUGGGAUAACUUCAGGAAACUGGGGCUAAUACCGGAUAGGAGCUCCUGCUGCAUGGUGGGGGUUGGAAAGUUUCGGCGGUUGGGGAUGGACUCGCGGCUUAUCAGCUUGUUGGUGGGGUAGUGGCUUACCAAGGCUUUGACGGGUAGCCGGCCUGAGAGGGUGACCGGCCACAUUGGGACUGAGAUACGGCCCAGACUCCUACGGGAGGCAGCAGUGGGGAAUAUUGCACAAUGGGCGGAAGCCUGAUGCAGGAACGCCGCGUGCGGGAUGACGGCCUUCGGGUUGUAAACCGCUUUCGCCUGUGACGAAGCGUGAGUGACGGUAAUGGGCAAAGAAGCAGCGGCUAACUACGU
rnacentral:rRNA from 1 species